UACGUAGGGGGCUAGCGUUAUCCGGAAUUACUGGGCGUAAAGGGUGCGUAGGUGGUUCCUUAAGUCAGAGGUGAAAGGCUACGGCUCAACCGUAGUAAGCCUUUGAAACUGGGAAACUUGAGUGCAGGAGAGGAGAGUGGAAUUCCUAGUGUAGCGGUGAAAUGCGUAGAUAUUAGGAGGAACACCAGUUGCGAAGGCGGCUCUCUGGACUGUAACUGACACUGAGGCACGAAAGCGUGGGGAGCAAACAGGAUUAGAUACCCCUGUAGUCCCUGAGCGGG
rnacentral:rRNA from 1 species